AACGAACGCUGGCGGCAUGCCUAACACAUGCAAGUCGAACGAGACCUUCGGGUCUAGUGGCGCACGGGUGCGUAACGCGUGGGAACCUGCCCUUAGGUUCGGAAUAACUCCCCGAAAGGGGUGCUAAUACCGGAUAAUGUCUUCGGACCAAAGAUUUAUCGCCUUUGGAUGGGCCCGCGUUGGAUUAGCUAGUUGGUAGGGUAAAAGCCUACCAAGGCGACGAUGCAUAGCUGGUCUGAGAGGAUGAUCAGCCACACUGGGACUGAGACACGGCCCAGACUCCUACGGGAGGCAGCAGUGGGGAAUAUUGGACAAUGAGCGAAGGCCUGAUCCAGCAAUGCCGCGUGAGUGAUGAAGGCCUUAGGGUUGUAAAGCUCUUUUACCCGGGAUGAUAAUGACAGUACCGGGAGAAUAAGCUCCGGCUAACUCCGUG
rnacentral:rRNA from 1 species